rnacentral:rRNA from 2 species
UAAGGAAUAUUGGUCAAUGGGCGCAAGCCUGAACCAGCCAUGCCGCGUGCAGGAAGACGGCCCUACGGGUUGUAAACUGCUUUUGUACGGGAAUAAACCUCUCUACGUGUAGGGAGCUGAAUGUACCGUAAGAAUAAGGAUCGGCUAACUCCGUGCCAGCAGCCGCGGUAAUACGGAGGAUCCAAGCGUUAUCCGGAUUUAUUGGGUUUAAAGGGUGCGUAGGCGGCUUUUUAAGUCAGGGGUGAAAGACGGCAGCUCAACUGUCGCAGUGCCUUUGAUACUGAAGAGCUUGAAUGUACUUGAAGUAGGCGGAAUGUGACAAGUAGCGGUGAAAUGCAUAGAUAUGUCACAGAACACCGAUUGCGAAGGCAGCUUACUAAAGUAUGAUUGACGCUGAGGCACGAAAGCGUGGGGAUCAAACAGG